rnacentral:rRNA from 1 species
UACGUAGGGUGCAAGCGUUGUCCGGAAUUAUUGGGCGUAAAGAGCUCGUAGGCGGUUUGUUGCGUCGGCUGUGAAAUCCCGAGGCUCAACCUCGGGUCUGCAGUCGAUACGAGCAAACUAGAGUGUUGCAGGGGAGACUGGAAUUCCUGGUGUAGCGGUGAAAUGCGCAGAUAUCAGGAGGAACACCGGUGGCGAAGGCGGGUCUGUGGGCAACAACUGACGCUGAGGAGCGAAAGCGUGGGGAGCGAACAGG